UGAGGCAGGAGAAUGGCUUGAACAUGGGAGGUGGAAGUUGCAGUGAGCUGAGAUGGUGCCACUGCACUCCAGCCUGGGUGACAGAGACUCCGUCUCAAAAAAAAAAAAA
ensembl:miRNA